rnacentral:lncRNA from 1 species
GAUGCUCUGUGGAACUUCCUGAGUAAUCGAUCAUUCCAUUCUCCCCGAAAUCUUUAGCAUGGUUCUUCUGAGGUUACUGAACACGUUUGUCAAAGUGGAAAAUUAGUUAUCGCAUGUAGCUGUGGUCUUCAAAAACUGGCGAGCGACACUAAACUCAGCUUCCACCAAAUCAGUUUUGCUCAGAUCCAGCAUUGGUUUAACCUUUUUCACAUCUACAAAGUCAUGGCUCUCUGGGUCAAGGGCACACAGAGCCGCCACCAGUUGGCUGUUGCGCUCGCUGAAUCAUUCUGACAUUUCACCAAUGACAGCAUCCAACUACAACGUGCAAGAAGAAAAUUGUUUACACUCAGUCUCUUCUCAUCUGUCCUACUGUACUGGUCACUACCCAUUGCUGGAGAUUUGUACUUACAUAACGUCUUCGUUUGCGUGAACCUGGUGCGUGCCACUGUCACUGCGCCCAGAUGGCUUCGAACUCGUCGCACCUCAACUUCUCGACGCACUGCGGACCACUUUGACUCCAGUGUGAAGACGGAUGUCCUCCUGUGCCCAGAUGACAAAGUCACACCAGCUACAACCUGUGAGAAGGAUGAGACCUUACACCUGCCAGUAGUAAGCAUGAGAUCUCUUCAACUUCAGCUCUCCAUUCUGCAUCUUCAGGUAAGGGCAGUCAACAUAACUUGGUACAUUUGGGCACUCGACCUCUAAGAGUCCAAAGUGUGGUCUCACACUGGGAUCAAAUAUGAUGCCACCUGGAGAGGAUCCUAACCACAGAGCAUCUGGGUGCACUACGAAGCCACACGGAAAGAAGUUAACAUUCUUCAGUGUGCCUUUGGCUCCAUGGCUAGCCCCCUCUUCAUCUCCAUGGUCUGCAUACCAGUUCCCUUGAACAGGCACACAGCUACGUGGUCAGCUGAGAUCUCUCCCCUGACAUGGCAAACCUCUCGGAAACGAGAGGAUGUUAUUUUCAUUUUCCUGAGCUGAUGCCAUUCCGGGCUGCUGCUCUGCUCCCUUGUAGCAACCUCAACAUUGUGUGACACCUCGUAGGUUGUCUCUGAUGCCUUGACGUGGAACUGCUCCUGAUGUCUAAGGACGUAAGCACACUGGGAAGACUGAAGCCUGUAGCCAUCUAAUGGAAGUAUUGGUGGAAAAAGGGGCAUCGGCAAUCUUCAC